rnacentral:rRNA from 1 species
CCUACGUGGAGCAGCAGUGGGGAAUAUUGGACAAUGGGCGAAAGCCUGAUCCAGCCAUGCCGCGUGUGUGAAGAAGGCCUUCGGGUUGUAAAGCACUUUCAGUGGGGAAGAAAGCCUUGGGGCUAAUACCCUCGAGGAAGGACAUCACCCACAGAAGAAGCACCGGCUAACUCCGUGCCAGCAGCCGCGGUAAUACGGAGGGUGCGAGCGUUAAUCGGAAUUACUGGGCGUAAAGCGCGCGUAGGCGGUCUGAUAAGCCGGUUGUGAAAGCCCCGGGCUCAACCUGGGAACGGCAUCCGGAACUGUCAGGCUAGAGUGCAGGAGAGGAAGGUAGAAUUCCCGGUGUAGCGGUGAAAUGCGUAGAGAUCGGGAGGAAUACCAGUGGCGAAGGCGGCCUUCUGGACUGACACUGACGCUGAGGUGCGAAAGCGUGGGUAGCAAACAGGAUUAGAUACCCUAGUAGUC